GAUCCUGGCUCAGAAUCAACGCUGGCGGCGUGCCUCAGACAUGCAAGUCGAACGAUUAAGACUCUCUUCGGAGAGUGUAUAGAGUGGCGCACGGGUGAGUAACACGUAGGUAAUUUGCCUUCGGGUGGGGAAUAACUAUCGGAAACGAUAGCUAAUACCGCAUAAUGCAGCGGCACCAAAUGGUGACAGUUGUUAAAGCUUUAUGUGCCUGAAGAGAAGCCUGCGGUGGAUUAGGUAGUUGGUAAGGUAAUGGCUUACCAAGCCUGCGAUCCAUAUCCGGUCUUAGAGGACGGUCGGACACACUGACACUGAAUAACGGGUCAGACUCCUACGGGAGGCAGCAGUCGGGAAUUUUGGGCAAUGGGCGAAAGCCUGACCCAGCAACGCCGCGUGAAGGAUGAAGUCCUUCGGGAUGUAAACUUCGGAAGAAUGGGAAGAAUAAAUGACGGUACCAUUUUUAGGCCCCGGCUAACUCCGUGCCAGCAGCCGCGGUAAUACGGAGGGGGCAAGCGUUGUUCGGAUUUACUGGGCGUAAAGGGCGCGUAGGCGGCGUGACAAGUCACUUGUGAAAUCUCCGGGCUUAACUCGGAACUGCCAAGUGAUACUGUCGUGCUAGAGUGCAGAAGGGGCAAUCGGAAUUCUUGGUGUAGCGGUGAAAUGCGUAGAUAUCAAGAGGAACACCAGAGGCGA
rnacentral:rRNA from 1 species